UCGUCGGCCGGCGGGCGCGGUGCCGGCACGGCCUCCAGUGUCGUCCGCGGCUCGGCGUCGGGAGGGACGACGGCGGAUGAUUCCUCCGCGACGGCC
rnacentral:tRNA from 1 species